CGAAAGAAAAGAAAAGGAAAAAAAAACGAGGAAGAAAUAUAAGAGGCGCAACAAAGGAACCGCCACCAAAAGCUCCGUUUGUUCUCUUUCUCUUUUUUUCACCAGAUCAUUCUUCU
rnacentral:ribozyme from 1 species